rnacentral:rRNA from 1 species
UGGGGAGUAUUGGACAAUGGGGGAAGGACCCUGAUCCAGCGACGCCGCGUGAGUGAAGAAGUAUCUCGGUAUGUAAAGCUCUAUCAGCAGGGAAGAAUCAUGACGGUACCUGAGUAAGAAGCCCCGGCUAACUACGUGCCAGCAGCCGCGGUAAUACGUAGGGGCAGCGUAUCGAUACUGGGUGUAAAGGGAGCGUAGACGGUAAAGCAAGUCUGGAGUGAAAGGCUGGGGCCCAACCCCGGGACUGCUCUGGAAACUGUUAAACUGGAGUGCAGGAGAGGCAGGCGGAAUUCCUAGUGUAGCGGUGAAAUGCGUAGAUAUUAGGAGGAACACCAGUGGCGAAGGCGGCCUGCUGGACUGUAACUGACGUUGAGGCUCGAAAGCGUGGGGAGCAAACAGGAUUAGAUACC